UACGUAGGGGGGCAAGCGUUGUCCGGAAUCAUUGGGCGUAAAGAGCGUGUAGGCGGCCCCGGUAAGUCCGCCGUGAAAGUCCAGGGCUCAACCCUGGAAUGCCGGUGGAAACUGCCGGGCUGGAGUCCGGAAGAGGCGAGUGGAAUUCCUGGUGUAGCGGUGAAAUGCGCAGAUAUCAGGAGGAACACCAAUGGCGAAGGCAGCUCGCUGGGACGUUACUGACGCUGAGACGCGAAAGCGUGGGGAGCAAACAGG
rnacentral:rRNA from 1 species